rnacentral:snRNA from 1 species
GGGGGAUCUGGCUGCGAUAUCUGUCACCCCACUGAUGGCCAGGGUUGGCUCAGCUGAUCUGGCCGGCUAGGCGGGUGCCCCCCCCCCCAUGUGCGUCCCUCCUGAAGCUGCGCUCGGACGAAGAGGACGGCCUUCCCCGAAUUGAGACGGACCGGUCUUCGGUCAAGGCUAUACGCGUAGCUGCGCUCCCCUGCUAGGACCUCCAAACAAGCUCUCAAGGUCCUAUAAAUAUUUCUAAAUGACUGCUGAUGUAGCCUGAAUGAAAAAUCCCUGGGAAUCAAUGGUCGGGACGGAGGCUGGUCAGACUGCUUCUUUCC